AAUUGGGCAUCGGCAACGAUUGGCUAUGAACCGUGUCAGGCCUUGACGGGAGCAGCACUAAGUAGAUUCAGUCGUGUGCCGGUGUCUUACUGUUC
rnacentral:SRP_RNA from 1 species